GAAAUUCUGUGACACAGUUAUGCACUGUCUCUCCAUUCUUAGAGAAACCAAAUGCUGACUGAAAUUGCUUCUUUUUACACAGAUUUAUGAAUGCAUCUUCUGACUUAGGAUGAUUCCUGUCAGUUUGAAGCCUUGACAGUACCAUUUAACAACUGACAAGAUGUACAGUGAACUGCCUGAGCAUCAGCUUGAAGUAGGCAACGAGAAGUUUCUUUGGGGCAUUUUCACAAGCAGAUCAGGACAAGUAAAUAUGAAUAUUUGCAGUCUUCUGUGAGGAAACUGGUGUCCUACAGCCUGAGGAGAAAAAGACCACUUUAUGAAAUGCUUCCACUUGGCGUGCCUCGAGGCGAAGUCAAGUGGGUGCCCUGUUUGCCCAAAGCGAGAGCUUGACAAAGUGAGCAAGGACCCAGAAACUGAGACACCUGGAGAUCAAGUGACUUAA
rnacentral:lncRNA from 1 species